rnacentral:miRNA from 1 species
AAAAUAUAAUACUAAAUAUAUUUUUGGUUAUGUUAAUUCUUGAAUGGUUAUGUUAUAAAAUUAUACGCAAGUUAUGUGGUGAUAUUGCUGCCAUGAAUGACGUAGAGUUUUACCGAAAUAGGUAACAUUAACAGUUUAUUACACAUAAGCAUGCAGAGUGCCGGAGGAGCGAUCGUGAGGUGCACCGAUACGAUAUCAGCUCGAGCAGUAACCUUGAAACAUUUGAUAAACACAAGAUGAAAAUCGAUACGACAAACUGAAGAGUGAAGUUUGCGAUCGAGUGGAGCGGCACACACGCUGUUCAACUCCGGCUUAACUUUAACCCACAUAACAAAGUUCAAUGUAAACACAAUAUGCCAGAAGUUUCCGAAGUUCCAGUUCACGGCCGCGAGGCGACCGGGCCGCCGUCGCCGCCGCGGCGCCUCCUCGCGCCACCAUCCCUCUCACCCUCGCCGGCCGCGCGCCGCCACUGCCUCGCCGCCGCGCCCCUCCGACAACUUCUGCCGUUAUUGCCUAAACUUCUCUACGAGACGAGACGCCAGUCGAGACGCUUUCGCUGUUCUACAGUUUUGUCAGCCGGUGUCAAUGUGCUAUAGUUACUUCUCUCAUGCUUAUUGUAAUUAUGACUUAAUUUAUUUGAUUGAUAUAUUUUAUAAAACACUAUGCAUGCGUGAAGGUAAUGCCAGGCGGAAUUAAGAAUCAAAAAUACGAUGUUGAGCAUGAGCCGAACACUUGCGUAUGCUGGAAUAUGCGGUGAUCUAGUUCGUUAUCAUCAUACAUACAUAAAUAAUCUGUUUAGCUUACCAUCAGCGAACUCAUGUUAUCUAGUAAUAUACAAUGCGCACUGAAUUAAUAUACCUACUGCCUACCUGGACUAGUUCAAAUAACAAAGAGUUAUAUGGCAUUAUUUUUGGAUACGGCUAAAGCUGACUAAAGUUACUUAUAUUGUUACAUAUUUACGGACUUAGAAAGUAAACAGAAAUUCUUAAGCAGCAUCUUUUAGACCAAUGUGUUUCCAUGGCUUAAAAGACAAAAGCAUAGUACGAAAGUUGGAAAGCACAUGACGUAUUAAAGCAGGUGUAUAAUAUGUGUGUCUGCGUGUUCGUGCACACAACUACACACCUGUACAAUGUACAGUGCUCCAGAAAGCGCACACCUUGUGUCUUAUCAUCUGACACCGUUUGAUAUGCGCCUUUACACCUUAUCUAUAAUGUCGAAAUUCUUCCACGUAUCACGUAUCCUAGUCAUGUAACUAAAGACAUUUAUACGCGCUUUAUUAGAUACUUAUGUGUUUAGAUACUAGACAAUUAUUGUAUUUAACACUCAUUUAUAAACUUGUAGUGGUUACAAUUCCUAUACUCUGUCUUUAAGGAUAAUUAAGUUCUAUUAAAGGAUCUAUUGUAUAUAAUAAUUUUAGCAUGCUUCUCUGUCGAUAAUCUUAGUAUAUUGCUGUUAAUGUUACACACUUUGGCAGUGGGCUAUUUAGGCGCAAGCGUUGAGUAGAGACAAUAGCUGCUAAUGUACUCCAUUUCGUAUCUAUUUGUAUUUACGUCUAACAGUGAUGAGAAAAUAGUGGAUUUAUCUGUCAACGAGAUAAUUAUAAUGUAAUAAAGGUGUAUCUCGAGUGUAAACAAAACGACUAGUCGGUGUGGUGGAGCCGCCGGCAGCAGACAGCGGCCCGGGCGCAGCGCUGCGCCGCGCGCCUUAUCAUCGAUGCCUUGCCGAUUGGUGGAGUGAAGUGUUUGCGCGACUGAUACCGCCCGCGGGGGCCAAUCGAUUCCCUGUUUCGUCGAAUCUUAUCAAAAUCAUGGUGGACGUUCGUACCUCGUGUCGGUUCCCUGAUAUCGUAUCUAAAGAUAUCGACGAAAGUAUAAAUAUGAGCCCAUCGAUCGAUCGGCUCUCUAUCGAAGUGCAAGCUGUGAUCGCUGUUCAUGUGGGGUGAGUCGCGCGUGCGUUAUUGGACUGUUUGAAAUCUCACCGGCAGCUUCAACUCCUCAGGGUAGCUGCUACUGAGUCUCCAACCUACGUAGAGCCGAUCCUGGUCGUUGACAGCGUGCGGAAAUUCUUACUCAGGGACACAAGGUUGGUUAUCGAUCACCUUCGACGUGGCACUGACGCCUCAGUGUUGCCGUGUCUUGUGAUAAAAUUUUCCGUCAUCCAACAUAUAAUGUUUCUAGUAUCUACUUAUAUAUUACGAUCAGCUUCGAAUCGUCUCGCGUCUCACCGUUGUCACUGUGGAAAUAAACGUCGGUGAUUACGUAAUAACAUAUGGUGGUCCAAUGGCACAUGUGUUCCUUGAGUCCGUGUCACCACGGCCGCCGGCUAUGUGUUCUUAUUAUCCCGUCAAAGCCAUUAUUAUUACAUUUGCGAAUAUGUACAUUCAUUACAGAACUAUGCAGGAUCGCUAACGCUACAGGGAAAAGCGACGCUGUUAUCAAAAAACGUUAACUGCGCCUUUUCGAGCGGUGAUAGCACACAGCCUGGUAUCGCGUGCAGUGCGCGCGCGUCCCUGGUCACACUAACCAAAUGUACAAUGUCUGUUGUAUAACAAUAAUAAUUUGUUUAAUUUACAGGUGGAAAUUAUACGAUGUACUACGCGUCCAGUAAUAUUACAGGCCUCACGUCUGAGUUGGACAGGGGAUCUUGACAGUUUAAUGUCACUUGCUGCCAGAUCUAUCUUUCCAGCUCACGCGUGAGGCCGCCCCACGCCACCAGGAAGAAUCUAUCAACUCGUAAAGCACAUCCCAGCGACUAAAAUGAAGAUGUGAGCGUACCAGAUUAAGUGGAGGUGUGAUCUCUUCACUUUUUAUGUUUAAAGUGAGAUUCAACUCCUCCAACUUAACCCUGAAUCGCAAUUUCUGCGCACUCCUGAAGAAGACUCUGACGUAAUGAUUUCUUAUGUUUACGUGAAUGUUAAACAUUGAAAUAAAACUAUUUUGCGGAUUUUAUUGCGGUUUUUACAUUAUAAUUUUCUAUUCUAUUUCUAGACAAAGUUAUUUACCUACAUUUUACAGUUAUACAAUAUUGAAAAAUGUAGGUAGUUAUUAUAACUUUGACUUCUUGGAUGACCAACAUCACAGUUCGCCCUUAAACCAUGAAGACUGCAAAGUCUUCGAAACGUAGGAAGAAAAUUAUAAUUUAAAACCGCGAUAAAAUCUGCAAAAUAGUUUUAUUCAAAGAUCUUGAUGCUUCAUCUGUAGAAAUAUUUAAUUUUGUACUUUCAUAAAAUUUUAUGUCAUAAAUAAUAAUGUACCUAUCUCUCGAAAUAAUACAUAAUGUAUGAUGUUACAAUAUAAAAUGUUACAAUUCACAUUAUAACCAUUCAUAUUAUACCUUCCCUACAUCAAAUACUGUUGUGUUUUUAUUGUAAAAAUGAUUUAUUAUAAUAUAACUAUGGCUGAUAACUUAGUUUUAUUUACUAUAAUGAAAAUAUUAACUAUUUUUAAUAUAUAUGCCCAUCAAAUAAUUUAUAGUUGCACCGAAAUACCCUUUUAAUCGUUAAUUUAAUUUCGGUUCAAACGUUGGCGCCACUGUGCCGUUCUAGCGAGUAUUAUGAAAGACCCAACUCGUUCCGACCAGUAUGAAGUGUGCCACAAAUCACUAGAAAAAAAUCACAACACAGAAAACAAAAAAUGGGCAAAAAAAUGUUGGUAACACCGGUGCGCUAAAAAAGCUUGCAAACUUCACGCACCUAACCUGCGCUGGACAUCGACUCGUCCGUAUCUCCAAACUCUGGGAAAAUGUAUAUUGAUUUUUCAAAGAAAAGUCAACCGAUGUAACAAAACACUACUCGUCGAGUGUUUAUACGCGAAGUGAAGUGCCGCGGUGGACGUGCAGCGUCGUCGACAUGGUGCGACGGGGCCCGUCGGCGCGCCCCGAGUGAGGUCGGAGAGAGUGUCGCGUCGCUCGGCCGACGGCCCGCAGCCCUGCGGCCGCGGUCCGGCGCGUCAUGGACGCCGGCGCCGACCCGCUGCGAGCCGCCAGGCCGUGGUGAUUAGUGUCGCAAGUGAUCGGUGCAGCCGUCGGAACGUACCAGUGGUUCAACUCAGUGUCCAGUGCGUGGCCGUGUCGCAGUGUGUCAGUGCACAUGAACAGUGAGAGUGCAGACAGUAUGCGCCUCGCGAGGGUCGCGCUCUGUGAGCCAUUGCCAGUGAGUUUGUCACGCCAAUAACUCACAGCAGCCCUCGGUGACAGGUGACAGUGUUGAAUGUGUUGGAAGUCAGCAGUGCCCGCAGGAGGCUUGUAGUGAGCCAGCGGCAGUGGACAGUGGAUGUGACCAGCCGCCCGCCUCAUGCUCAGGGAGGAGGGCGAUGAUAAGCCGAAGCCGCCGGAGAGCCAGGACGACGGGUACGAGACGAGCAACAGCGGCGAGGCGGCGCGACGCAAGCCCUCCAGCGCCGAGGGCUCGCCCGCGCCGCCGCCCGAGCCCUCGCCGCCGCCCGACCCGCCCUACGAGCCCAUGAUGCGCUACCCGCAACCAGAACCAGAACCCUAUAGACAUUUCGAGCAGCCCGCGCCGCCGGGGCUCUCGGCGCCGGAGCCGCAGUACUUCCCGUUCCCCAAGUACAGCGAGCCGUACGCGUUCAAGCGCGAGGACGUGCCGUACGACAUGAGCCAGCAGCAUGCGCACGCGCACGCGCACCAGCAACACCACCAACAGCACCAAUACGCGCUGCCGCACCAGCAGAAGCGAGACGAAGACAUCUACAAUGGCAUCAAGCGCGAGUGCGAAGACCCGUACUCGUUCGCGGAGGAGGAGGCGGCGAUGUGCGCGAUGCUGCAGCAGCCCGCGCCGCACGCGCUGCUGCACGAGCACCACCUCAUGCACCCGCAGCAGAUGCUGCUCAACCAGCCCAAGAAGCGCGGCCGCAAGAAGAAGAUCAAGGACGAGAACGGUAUGGAGAUAAAGACGGAGGGCAUGGAGGGCGCGCUGGUGCCGCGGCCGGUGAAGGAGCGCAAGAAGCACGACCGGUUCAACGGCAUGAGCGAGGAGGAGGUGUCGCGCCGCACGCUGCCCGACCACCUCGCCGAGAACCUCGACAUCAUCAUUAUCGGCAUAAACCCGGGUCUGUUCGCGGCGUACAAGGGGCACCACUACGCGGGCCCCGGCAACCACUUCUGGAAGUGUCUCUACCUGUCCGGACUCACCAGGGAGCAGAUGAGCGCCGAUGAAGACUACAAGCUGUUGAACUUCGGCAUCGGUUUCACGAACAUGGUGCCGCGGCCGACCAAGGGCUCGGCGGACCUGACGCGGCGCGAGAUCAAGGAGGGCUCCGCGGUGCUGCUGGAGAAGCUGCAGACCUUCCGGCCCAAGGUGGCCGUCUUCAACGGGAAGCUCAUCUACGAGGUGUUCUCCGGCAAGAAGGACUUCUGCUUCGGGAAACAACCGGACACCGUCGCCGGCACCAACACUUACAUGUGGGUGAUGCCGUCGUCGUCGGCGCGCUGCGCGCAGCUGCCGCGCGCGGCGGACAAGGUGCCGUUCUACGCCGCGCUGAAGAAGUUCCGCGACUACCUCAACGGACUCGUCGCGCACGUCGACGAGGCCGAGCUCGUGUUCCCCGACAACACCAGCCGCCGCCCGCAGGAGGAGAUGGAGAUCCGCAGGCUCACAAUGGAGCCGGAACCAGGCGACACGAUCAUCCUGGAGGACGGCACUGAGGUGCCGCUUAAGAAGAAGCGAGGCCGACCCAAGAAGGUGAAGCUGGAGAACGGCGAGACCGCGCCGCCCACCCCCCGCGCCCCGCGCCAGCCGCGACCCCCGCCCACGCUCGACCCCAACGGAGACCAGCCACCCAAGAAGAAGCGUGGUAGACCCAAGAAAAUACGCCCCGAAGAACAACAGUUCCUCAUGCAACAACAACAACAGCAACAGCAACAACAGUCGAACCCCAUGCUGCAGUCGUCGCUGUCGUCGCUGUCGUCGCUGCCGCACGAGCAGGGCUACCUGGCGCCGCACGCGGGCGAGUUCCCGCAGCAGCUCGGCUCGCUGCCGUCGCUGCCGUCGCCGCUGGCGCAGGGCUCGCUGCUGUACUCGCACGCGCACCCCGCGCACCCGGCGCACGCGCACCAGGCCAUGCCCGACGGCGCCGGCUACUUCCAGCCGCAGCCGCAGGCCCAGCCCGCCGGCGGAGACGGCACACCAUGCGACAUGUCCGGCAUGGACUCGCCACUGGACGUGUCGCCCGCCGGCCGCGCCUUCAGCGCGCGCUCGCCCAUGUACGCGCACAGCCCCGCGCACCAACCCUACCACCAUCCGCACCAGCAAUCGAGUCCUGCUCAGCAACCUCGAUUCUCGCAGUCGCCUCAUCCGCACCAUCCACUACCCUACGCACGCUCGCCCGCACCACAGACGCAGUCACGGCCGUACUCGCGGUCUCCGGUGCCGUCGGGCGCGGGGGUGGUGGGCGUGGGAGUGGGGGUGGGAGGCAACACCACGCCGUUCCCGGCCGCGUCGCCCGCAGGCGGCGGCUACACGCCCUCGCCCGCGCACACUCCCUACAGCCACCGCUCCUCGCCUGCGCCCUCCUCACGCACUCCCACAUACACAGACGCGCAUCACUUCCCACAUCAGAGCGGCAGCGGCGGCAGCGCGUUCGGCGGCGAGCUGGGCAGCGAGAUCGGCGCGGCCAUCUCGUCGCCGGGCCCGGUGUCGCCCGGCAUGGCGGCGCUGGACUUCGAGCCGCCGCGCGACCCCGAGCGCGCCGCCAGCCCCGCCAGCGCCGACCUGCACCCCGCCUCCAACUCCGACUCCUCGCUCUCCGACUACAACAAGACGUCGGUGGGCGGCGAGAUGUCGCCGGCGGGCGUGGGCGCGGGCUCGUUCGGCGCGCUGUACGAGGGCGAGCCGCGCCUGCAGUACCCGCACGCGCCGCACGCGCUGCACGCGCAUGCGCACUCGCCCGCCGCGCAGGACAAGGACCACUACCACUACCGGCAGGACCAGGGGAGCGGUGUAUCCGAGAGCCCAAGAUUAGACCAGAUGCACCAGCAUCAAUCCAUGUAUCCCAACAACUUCAACCGGUCGACGCCGCCGGGUCCAGUGGCGGAGGGUCCGUUCUCACCGCUGCCUGCCGCGUUCCGCCCGCCCGAACACCCGCACACGCCACACACGCCGCAUACACCACACACACCGCACACGCCGCUACAUCACCAGCCCGGUUCUCCGGGUGACUACAGCGGCACAGUGAAACCGAAGUCGCAAGACGUCGCGUCCAAGUCCCUGUCGGGUCUGGAAUCGCUCGUGGACCAGAUCCCGUCGAUAGCGGAGGGUCCGGGCGGCGCGGCGGGCGUGGCGGGCGGAGUGGGCGGCGUGGGGGGAGUGGCGGGGGUCGGCGGCGUGGGGGGCGUGGGCGGCGUGAGUGCGGGCGCGACCGAGCAGCCCGCGCCGGCGCCCGUGCCCGCGCUGCCCGAGUACGCGCCCGCGCUCUACGGGCCCUACGGCGCGUACGGCGGCGCCGCCUACGGGAACAACGGGUACGGCGGUCCGUUCGUGGGGUACGGCGGCGGCUGGGGCGCGACGGUGAUGCGGCCGGCGCCGGGCUACCUGCCCGAGUGGCAGUACGGGUACGGCGCGGGGGUGCCGCCCGCCUACGCGCCCUACAACGCGCCCUACUACAACGGGUACGCGCCGCCGCCUGCCCAUCACCAGCAGGUACCCUAGCCAGAACCAUCGCGUCAGUAAGGCGCACUACCUGUCGGCGCCGCCGCUGAUCGACCUGCACAAGAACGGCGAGCACGCGGGCGGCGUGCCGGCCGUGCCCUCCGUGCCCUCCGUGCCGUCCGUCGGCUUCGGCGGCUUCUGUUAGUGCACUCACGCGACCACACUGUACAUACCACACGCGGACUUUUUAUCUGUCGUUUUAACGAGGUACGUGAUUUGUUUCUUUUGUAAGCGAUCGUCAGUAUUGUGGAGGACUGUUUGUGGUUGAAUCUCAGCGCCCGGCGCCGGCCGCGCGGCCGCUGCAGACUGCAGUGCCGGACUGCAGUGAUGUGCUCCCGCGCACGGGCUGCAGCGGCGCGAGAGGCGCCGGCGCCGGCUCGAUAAACUAUAGUGUAAGUAGCGAAAUUGGACUGAUGUAUCGACUCGAAUGGCGGUUUUUUAUCGAAUUAAUACAAUUUUUGUAAAGCAAUCGUUAGUGAUGUAAUUUAAUCUUUUUCAAAUUGAUGAGCUUAAUUUAUAGGUGGUUUAUUUGUAAAUAUUGUAUGUAUUAUUAUUUUGAUUCAUCACAUAUUUCUUUUAUUAUUAUUAUUUAAACUAAUCGCUCGUUACAUCACAGGUUAUAUCGCAAUUUGUAUAACCCUCUAUGUUGUGGACAUGUUUAUCGUAACCCAGUUAGAGCCGCGAAUGAAACAAGAGUAUAAUACAAUAAAACUGGUACCAAAACUUUCGAUGAAAGACUUUGACAAGUCGGAAUGAAAGCGAAUAAAGUUUAAGCAUAUCCACAGUGUGAAGGGUGUGUUUGUGCGCGUGAGCGGCGGCGGUGAGCGGCGGCGGCGAGCGGGCGCGGGUACCGACGUAUUCGGAGAGUCUGUGAUCCUCGUCAUGUCUAACUAACUAAUGGCCAUUGUUAUUGCCAUACGGAAAAAAUGUGUUCGGAAACGUUCGAUAUGGAGUGGCGCACGCGCAGUGCUGUCGGUCGCGGUUGUGUCCGGAGUGACAGCGGUGGCGGUACAUAGAGGCCAUAUUAUGAGACGAUACGAAAUGGGAUUUUCUACUGUCUGUAUGUUGUAACAAUCUAUGUUUCUACGUUUGUAAUAUGAGGCUUAUUAUGUGGCGAAACCGCUACAAAACCCAAGCUGUACAAGCUAACACGAUUGUGAUCUCAUUGGUAUAUAAGAAUGUGACAUUAAUGAUCUUUGUUUAAGUUAAUUAUGAAUUAAAAUAUCUUUUCGCUGUGAUAUUGAGAACUUGGUAUUGGUUUAGUACAGGCGGUAAUUGUUAAACUAACGCGUGGGUCGUGUUAGCUUGCCGGCUGAGAUGGACUUGUUUAGUCGAUGCUGCUUUCCAGUACACAGUUUUUGUGAAUAUGUCCAUAAAUGUGUAAAUUUUACAUAUGACACAGUUAUCGUGGUAUUUGCAGCUCGCUGUGUACUCGCGAGCAGUCUCGAUGUUCGCGCGAGGGACCGACGCUCGUGGGCGGUGCACACUCGUGGCAGAAUCCUUAACAUUUAUUCGUUAUUCAUUUGGGAUUCAGCCAGAAAUUGUUAUACGAAGUCUUGCCAAUGAUGUGUUUCGCUCUAGUCACUUAUUAAUUCGUGUCGGCUAGUCAAAAUGAUAACGUACCCUGCGCCGCACCUCGCCCCCGACACUUGUCGCGCCGAUAUUAUAUAUUAUAUAGAAAAAAAUAUUAUUUUUUGUAUCUAAGUCACAAGAACGGCCUACGAAAGGAAUAACGUAUACUUUUUAUUUUUUAGAAUUUAGUUUGUAAUGUUUUGUGACACUAUUUAUAAUUAGCAUUUUGUAUUCUACUGUCGCAACGAGGCGGCCAUUUUGUCGGCGCGGUCAAUGACUGUCUGUGGUGCGCGGAUAUAAACUUGUGGAUCAUUUUUUAAUGAAUAUUUUAUGAGGUAUUGUAUUUUCCAUGUUACCAACAAUGGUUACUUUUUUUUAUAAAAAAAUAUAUUUUUAAAUCUUUUUAAAAUCCUAUUGUGUUGUUACCAACCGAAAAGAAAUGUGUAAAGGUUUUUUGGCCUUACCUGUAUAAUGAAUUGUAUAAUUAUCCCGUCGAGCACCGCAGAAGGAAGUCAGUGGGCGCGCCAUUGCCAUGGACACCGUGCAUUUUACUAAACGUUACCCGAUCAGUUACAUUAGCUUGGAGUCGCUAGUGAAAUAGCAUAAUUUUACAAUAAUUAUUGAUAACCUAUAUUUUUAUUAUACGCGCCAUUUUAUUAUAAGGCCAUUGACGUGAGAAUAAAUAAUAAUUUAAAACUUGUCGGAAUGCGUCCAGUCUUACAGAAUAUUGUGUUAAAUUGUAAACUGAAAUAGCACAGAUUGCAUUUACUUAUUUUUAUUUUAUUUUGACGUUUUGCUUACACAUUUACACUAUUUGCAAAUCCAAAAACAUUACCACUACGUAUGUUUUGAAUAAUUUGAUUUAUUUAUUAAGUAAAUAUAGCUUUAUAAUCAAAAAAGUACUACGCAGUUAUUUAAAGCUUUAAAAUAUUUUGAUUUAGCCUGAAAACUAAUCAAGGACAUCGCGUAAUUGUGUAGUGAGCGUCGCACGAAAGUUAAUAUUUAUUCUCACGGCACUUCUUGUACCGACUGGUAACAACCUCUAGGUUUAGUUGAACGGUUACGAAGCAUAAUGUUUACAUAGGGUGCUGAUUAGUUGAAUUGUUUCCUCGUUUUUUAUACGAAUGUCGCUCUACAAUAAGUAGUGUUUAGAGUCCUGUAUUACGUGUCGAUGUUGAAAUGUGUACGAGGUGCUAGAUAAGAGUCAUUGAUGACCGGUUAUACUGAUGUUUGAAUAUUUACUGAAGGGGCGACUAAUGUAGAGGUCUAAGAUAUGACAGCUAUACAUUAGCUAACAUUAAAGAAAAUAGUCCUAAUUUUGCACAACUAAUUAUUGUGUUGUUCCUGUAAGGAACUAACAUAACGCUGACAUGAUGUACAUUUCAUAUUACAAAACAUUCGAGCCACGUGACUGGCGCCUUGUACCAUUGAUGCGUUGUAUGUCGUACAAUACGGGAGUUUAUGUUUCAUUAUUAAGUCUUUAGUGUGUUGUUGAUGUUUUAUUUUCCACUUUUUGACGAUAUUUUUAGGUAUUGGGUCGUGUACAGAUAGAUAAAGUAAGGGUCGAUUCACACAAGAGCCAACACGUGCAACGAAUGAGCGUGGCAUCCGUGGGAAGCGCGAUUCGAAUUGCAAUCGAUCGCUUUGUGUCCUCGUUCGUGAAGUACAAUUAUUAUUAUAAGAACGCUCCAAGGCUGUUUUCGAGGCAUUUGUAUCUUUAACUCGUAUUAUUGUAUAGGAUAACUACAGGACUUGGAGAGAAGUUCGACAAUAAAGAUCUCUACAAAGUGGACAUUAGGGUUUUAAAUAUAUACAUUUAUUGCACACGUAGCUCGCCACUGUAAAUUCGUUUCAGGUGUUCGCUUUUUGACAAUCGACAAAUAAGUCCUUCCGCAUACUAUAAUAUAAAACUGUCGGUGUGUAGGCGAUCCGCCUAGUGUAUAAAUAGUGGGUCACAUCUGGAAAGUGAAAAUUCUCUUGUACAAAACAUUUUAUUAAAUUUUUUCUUUGCACAAAAGUCUUAAAAUUAAGCUAAAAACGAAAAUAACAUACGUAAUAAAGACAUAUACUUUUAAUGGUAGGUAUACACGAAUGAAUUUAUACGGUAGUGAAAAGGACGCGUCGGUCACCGGAGAGUUGGUAGGGUCGGUCGGAUUGUGCUCAAUGCUUGAGUUGUGUUCUGUCUCGCCUUCAAAUAGUGCAGCGGUCUCUGGUCUGAGUCUGUGCCACAAGCCACGUGUCGGGUGUGGUAUCAUACGCGCAUCUCUCGAUCUCGCUUCCAUCUACUGCCUACUAUUUAUACUGUACAAUGUACAUCUCGCUGCACUAUUUAAACGCAUACUUAAUUAUUUUUUUCGUAAUGCAGAAGGGGAAAAUUUAUAAGUUUAAAAAUGAAAUCAACAGGGUAUUUAAGAUUGCUUAAGAUUUAUUAUUUUAUAUUUAUUAUUAUUUAAUAAUGCGUGCUUGCUUAGCGCUGUUUUGUUUGGAUUAAGGUUAUUCUGUCGCGCGCCUGUCGUGCGUACAUCGCGCGUUGCGUGUGCGUGUCGUCGGCGGCACGUGGCUAUCGCGCGAUUCUGCCCUUGUAUUUACUUUUUGUUUAUGUUUGACAGCUGCACGGAAACACACGACUUGAAUAUAUUGACAUUUAUAAAAUACUUGGAACAUAGGGUCUAAAUUUGAAUCUCAAUUACACUUAAGCAUUUAAUUAUGUCAAUCAUAAUAAAAUUUAUUGUAUUAAUGGUUCGUACAACUUUGAAGUUGGUGAUGACAUUUCAGUAGAACGAAACAAGCGUUUGUGUGAUUCAGACGUGUUUAUGCAAUGCCAAGUGUUACAUAUUUGACGCUAAAAACAUAUUGCUUCAGUAUGGGCUCAAAGGUAUUUGUAAUUGGUGUAUUUUAAUAUCCGUCAUAUUUUAACUAGAGUUGUGUGGGUGUCGUGCAGCGGUCGGUCGCAGUAACGCCUUUGUACAUAAUGAGUGCUUUAUUACGCUUUUUUAUAUUAUUUAACAAAGUACAUAUUCGUAUUUCUAUUUUUGCUUUAUAUGUUCAUUUCACACGCGGUAUGUGUGGACGGGAUUCUCUUUGGUUACGUGUGUAAUAAGAGUAACAGUAGGUCGAUACCUCGCACAGUGAUAAUUUAUUGUUGGAGCGGAAAUGUUUUUCUUCCGAAAAAUUUCGCCAAACUUUGCCUACUGUUAAUCUUUAUUACACUAUGUUGGGUAAGUUGCGUCGUGGCGGUCGUUGAUAUUGAGAAAAUUACUUUUAACAUUUCGGGACGCUCUGUACUAUACGUUGUGUCUUCUCUUAAGCUCGACCAAGUAAUCUUAAUUCUUCUAGCAGUUUGCGUGUUCAUAAAAGACAACAAACAGUGCUACAAUUUUGAAAAAUGGUUACAAUUAAUCCGAUCCGUAAUACUUUAUAUAAUUUUAGUUACAUCUGCAUCAGUCAAUUGCCACGACGCAUCAACCGCGAACGAUUGAAGGCCUAUCAAACACACGCCACUGUUGUAACCGGGUGCUAGAGCUGUCGUCACAUCACGCGGCGGGAGGCGGCCUUAAAUGUGACCCAAUCUACCGACAGAACGGGGCAAGGGAAUUUAAACUUAAUUAUUUUGAAUUCUAAUAACUUUACAAUUCGUAUUUCAUUAGUAUCAUUUGACAUUUCAUUUAAGAUGAUAUCAAUGGAAAAUUUAUUCUAUAUUUAUUGUUUUAAAAUUAAAAGUAAUGCGACUUUUAAAUCCUAUGCCAUACUGUGCUGCCGAUAAAUUUCGGGAUUAUCAACUGCCUAUCCUCUGUGAUAUUUAUGUGACUGUCCGUGUGACAACCAGUGAGACUGCCAGCUCCCGGCGCGUGAGCAGCUUGCUUCUUUGUAACUUGUGGUUUAUGUGUAGACGGUAGACAAAAACAUUCCAUUGUCUGUGCUAUGGUCUUUACAGACCUCCGACUUGUCUUAACAAGUGCAAAAAAAUCCUUUCCCGUUCCUCCACUUCUGAAAAGAGUGCUGUCUCAUAGCAAAAUACAGUUAGGAGUAUGAUAAACUAAUAGAAUAGCACAAAAUUCACAUGUGUUCCACGCUGGGCUAUGACCAUCAAUGCAGUGGAUCUUGCGUUGUGGUCAAUUCCAUUGGUAAGUCAUUUUUCUAGGCCUGUGCGCUCUGGUACGUAAGUGCCCUAUCUCGACAAAGUAAGUAAUUACUUAAGAAGACACCUUAAAUGUUUGUCGAUGAAUUAUAAGCCGUACUUUAAACGAACUGUAUAUUUAAAUGAAGCGCGUCAAAGUAGUGUUUUUGUGUCGCAGUCUACACGUGCGUUAGUUGUAUUUCAAGUUUCCUUAUCGAAUAGGUUUUUUGGCGAAUUCCUUUACGCAACGGAGUGCAAUGUCGGGAGAUUAGUGUUUUGUCUCGUGUCUGAUUGUUGUAUUAUUGUAUUUUUAAUAUUAUUGAGUUGCGAGUUGUGUCACAAUGAACGCUGUAGAUGGUUGGUGAUAUACCACAGAGCCUGUUCAACUAUAAGUGGUGUUCGCCGCUGGGGGGUGCGACGAGACGGACGUGCAUGUCUUGUACAAAUAUUCGACGAAUUAUAGCAUUAGUCAAAGAUAUUUGUACACCCAGAUCAGCUGCGAAUAUCGCGUGUAGAUCGAACGUGAUUUGAUGCUGACGUUUAGUGACAAUAUCGUAUCCUCAGGCAAAGAACGCAAGUCUUAUUAAUACUUUCAUUGUUAGCCUGAAGACAUGAAAUAUUUGUUAAUUUAUUUCGGUAAACAAUUUUGGAGGCAUUUAAUAAAAAUUCACAGACCAUCUGUAACGUUUAUUUUGUGAUCCUCUCGCACCGGACCGUUUGGCAUAAACGAGUGACUUUCGACUUUCCUAUCAGGUGCAUAAAGUUUAGGAUUGUAUGAUAUUAGCAGCGAGUGGAGUCAGGACGUGCUGGACUAACUUUUAGAUUUUAGUGCGCGAGGUUAGGACGUAAAUUCGGUGGUGUUGCCGCGUUGUAUUUGUGCUUCUAUUGUAAAUUCGGUUUGUUGUCUAUACAUACAUGCUAAGAACAUAACGUAUUGUGAAACGUCUGUUGUAUAUCUAUAUUUACAUUUUGUUAUUCAAUAAUAGAAUAAAAAUAAUGGUUUGCUAUUUUUAAACAUUUUACGAAACGUUUUAAUAUGGCGACCGAAUUUACGCUCAAAUACAUACGCGUUCUUAAUAAUAAGUCUCUAUCAACGAGUUAGUGUUAGUGUGUACACGUGUUGUUCGCGGACGAGGCGCGGGCGCGGGCGCGGGCGCGGGGAGCGGACGCGGCUCGGCGGCGCGCGCGCCUCGCCGGCGCCUUUAUCUCCUUACAUGUCGCUGCUCGCGUGCGAGUGGACUUCACACGACUCGUUCGCAAUAUAGUGGCUUGGAACUCUUUCUCCUUCAUGGCAGUCGGUAAAAUCACAUAAAUAAAAACUAUCAUUCAUAAUAUGAAUUACUUAAUUAGGCUUCUUUUAAAUAAAAUACAAACAUUACCUAUAUUCUUAUCAAUUGUAGAGUUGUAAGCCACGUUACUGGGAACAUUUUAAAAACACAUUGUACUUAAGGUUGUAAGCGUGUGCAGUCCACCAGCAAGCGAUCAGCUUUUAGUUAUGGGCGGCUUAGACUGUCAGUUUUGACUGCAUAAGUUAAUUAAGAAUUACAAUAGGUCUAUGCCAGUUAUAUUAAAUCUCCAGUGUAUUAAUUUCAGUAAUAAUGAAUGAAUUAUUAAACCUAUUGAUUAUAACACGGUCUAAAAUAACGAAGCAAACUGAUGUCAGUCAAGGCUGGCGGUGUAGCGCGUCUCUUAGGGUUGACCAGUGUAUGCAUUGAGUCGCUCAACUAUUUGUACAGUAUGUAUAUUUUUGUAAAAUUCACUUUUAACUUGCGGUGGCAAUAUUAUGAAAUUUUAAAAUUUAUCUAUAAUAUUAAAACUUAGUACAAUUGUUACGCAGUUACUUUGACCACUGGGGUUUUGUUUUGUAUAAUCUGUCGUUAUAAACUUGUGAGUACAGAAACUAAGGCUAAACUUAAAUCCUCAUGAAAUGUUAAACCUGUCUACGAUUAAUUGUUUCUAUGAAUAAAUCAAUGUUAAAAUGACUGCCUUUAUUACAAUCUGAAUACAAGUUAGUUUGGUGAUAUUGAUGUUAAUACAUAGUUGCACGACUCACAAGCUCGCACUGAUGUCGAACACAGGAGCAGACCGUAUGCGGACGUCCUUAUCUGCAGUUCCAAACAUUGUUGCCUGCGAGUAUCAUCAAACCUUUUGAACAUUAUCACUAAUUAAUAUAAAGCUUCAUUUGGACUGUAAAAAUAGAAUACAAAUGCUUAUCCAAAAAUGGUUUGGGACUGAGAUGAGGAGCGCCAAUACAAGCUGCUCGUUAGAGUUUUACGAUAACGCGCCUUCGCGCACUGCUUGGUUGUGAAUUAGUGUCGCUUACGGUUCCCUACUCCGUCUGCUGUCCGCUGCGAAGUAUUCGCUUAACCAGUAUUGUCGUGCCAAAAAUGUAUGCGCCUCGAUUCCUGCACCCUCUACGCGUCCAGGUUCGGUCCCGCACCUGACUAUACCGGGUCGGGGUAAGAACCAUAGCUGACGCUUCUGAGUGCGGGAAUAGAGGACCGGAGCUUUGAAGCAAUAACGUAUCAACUUAGUCUCAAAUCGAAAGCAAUAAUGACUGGGCCGCGAAGCUGCAGUUUAUUUUACAAAAUUCACCCUCUAUUCGAAUAUAAGGAAUCAUUUUUCAUUGCCAAAAUUGUACUUUUUCAGAUUCUUGUGAUAGCAUUUAGUGCAAACAUGUGUAUCUUUCCGCCAGGUCUAAUAAUACCUGUGCAGGAAUUUAGAUUAUGUAACCAAUGUCCAUUAUAGAACAUUGCAUCCAUAGUAAUACUGUAAUCCGAUCAUUUUGUUCGUCAUAUGUAUGCCUUUAUUAUGUUCAGAUGUUGUACUAUUGGAACCAAUUUUCAUAUUUAUUUCUAUGUUUUCAUCAACAUAAGAUGCGAAUAAAAAGUAUCGCCAAAAUAUCAAAAUUGUGUCCAUUACAGCAACGAUCAGGCGGAGUUAGAUCCUAGCUCAAUUUUAUUAAACAAUAAUUAUAUUAUUGUACUUGCUUGUUAUUUGUCGUUGGAACUGUAGUCAAUUCCCCUUGGCUGACUACACACAAUGUGUACAUCGAUUCCACACUCCCGCCGUUACGGGCAUCGAACUUUUAAGUUUAGCGUUGUGCAGUAUUCUAAAACAAUUCAAUUUACUAUAUACUUGCCAGUCAAUUGACAUAAAUGAACAUCUCAGCCAGGCAUAUGUUGUCUAGCUAUCUUAAGUGGGUCGGAAGCAUAAAGCGAGUGUGUGGAACCGACGUGGCAUCAAAUGUGUCGGCCCAAGUUUCAUUCCACAGCCUGCAUUACUCAAAUAACUCGCAUUUUCUUAACACGGUGCUUGUUUUUGUAUAUAACGGACGACGCGACGCGGCAUUGCUCUUCUUAUAUUGUCACUUUGAAUGUACUUAAUAAAAUUUAGUCAAGGAAUGAAAUUUUCCGUUGUUGGAGUGUUCAAGUUUUUAUAUAUACUUGUAUUAGUUUUGUGCUAGUUUCGUUGUUAGAUUUGACGACGUUGUGUACUUAAUCGUACGAUGCAGUACUUAGACGUUAUUGUAAUAUUAAAUGCUGUUGUAUGGCGGACACGCCCCAUAGUUUAAACUCGUGGCCGCUGCUCGUGCGGGCCACACGUUAUGUAUGAUACAAGUAUGUUGCAUAUGAUUUGAGAGUCUCAGUAGCGCGUUGAGUUGUCGAUCCCAAUGAAUAGUCAAUUAUUCGGGAGAGCGCCGCGUCCCGUCGCCGUCAGCUCGUUUAAAGUACAAUUUACCUUAUAAUCUCGUAUUAUUAUUAGUUGUAAUUGAUGUUUGUACACUACUGUCACUGUUGAGCGGUGGUGAGCGGUGGUGGGCGGUGGCGAGCCGCACGUCGCCGGAGCGCGGCCGGAGCGCGGCCGGCGCGCGUCCGAGCCGCGCUCCCGUUAUAUUGAUACAUACCUACGCUAGCAGUAAACACUCAUGUUUGUACAGUUUUUAACGAUAACACUACUUCUCGUAGGUGAAUAAGCAAGAAAUAUUUUUUAGUAUAAUAAGAUCUAAUCGAAUUACAUCAUAGUGUAACAUAAUAAAGUACUCGAGGUUAACGAAAUUUCAUUUUCAAACUUUCUACGGUCCUUCGUUUAAUGAUCGUAUCGGAAAUUGACUCAGUGGAGUGUAAUUAGAAAUAAACAGGAAAAUUUUAAAUGAUGAGAUACAACUUAAAUAAUGGAUAAGUAAUGUAUUAUAAAUAGUUUUAAGGUAAAAAGUUAUUAUUAACAUUGUAUGGAAAAUUGUGACAAAAUUAUAGUCAUUUGUAAUAUU